rnacentral:rRNA from 1 species
GACGAACCGUGCGAACGUUGUUCGGAUUCACUGGGCUUAAAGGGCGGCGUUAGGGUACGGAACCACCCAGUCCGGGGUGAAAUCUUUCGGCUCAACCGGAAAAGGGCCGUUGGACUACUGGUGGAUCUGGAGGAAGGUAGGGCAUGCGGAACUUCCGAUGGAGCGGUGAAAUGCGUUGAUAUCGGAAGGAACGCCGGUGGCGAAAGCGGCGUGCUGGACCUUUCUGACGCUGAUGCGCGAAAGCCAGGGAGC